rnacentral:rRNA from 1 species
CCUACGGGAGGCAGCAGUGAGGAAUAUUGGUCAAUGGGCGGUAGCCUGAACCAGCCAAGUAGCGUGCGGGAUGACGGCCCUACGGGUCGUAAACCGCUUUUGCACGGGGAUAACACCCUCCACUUGUGGAGGUCUGCAGGUACCGUGCGAAUAAGGGCCGGCUAAUUCCGUGCCAGCAGCCGCGGUAAUACGGAAGGCCCGAGCGUUAUCCGGAUUCAUUGGGGUUAAAGGGAGCGUAGGCGGGCGUUCAAGUCAGCUGUAAAAUCGCGCGGCUCAACCGCGCCCCGCAGUUGAAACUGGAGGCCUUGAGUGCACAACAGGCAGGCGGAAUUCGUGGUGUAGCGGUGAAAUGCAUAGAUAUCACGAGGAACCCCGAUUGCGAAGGCAGCCUGCCGGGGUGCGACUGACGCUGAGGCUCGAAGGUGCGGGUAUCAAACAGGAUUAGAUACCCGGGUAGUC